ensembl:lncRNA
CCCGCCCACACUGACCACCGGACUUCAGCCCCUGCCCCUGUAGAACCAUGAAAACCCACACUCCUUAACGACAAAUACUAAUACCAUUAAUUAGGAACAUAUGUUAAAUAACAAUCAACUUAUAAGCAAAUAUUAACAAUUAAUCAACCUGUGAUAACCAUUGAUUUACUUUUAAUUCUGCCUGCACAACAAAGUGGUUUUCAGCGCUUAAGCCUGUCAUCAUCUGUGCCAGCCCAUGCUGCAGAGACCCACAGGGGGAGUAUGAGCUUCUCCCUUCCGACACGGAGCAACCUCAGGCAGAGCAAAGAGGUGCCUUCUUCUUUGUGGCUCACCCCACUGAACAUGCCCAGCUGUCAAGAUACACCAGACUGUGAAUGAAUCGGCAGCUGCACAAAUUACUUAAAAAGAAGAAUUUGCCACCAGAGCAAGAAGCUGUGAAGUCUGCAAAACAAUUCUCCCUUGUGUAUUUAAACAUGAGUAGACAAACUGCACAGUACAUCUCUGACAGAGAAGCUGACAGAGAAGCUGAGCCUAAAAAGCAAAGAGAGCACAUCUUUUACAAUGUGGUGAUGCACAGGUGGGAGAAAGGCCU